rnacentral:misc_RNA from 1 species
GUGCAUUCUGGGGUCACUUUGGCUAAUGGUUUGCCUUCAAAGCAUUGAGCUUGGUUGGUGGCUUUUAGUUGGGUGGUCUCGGGGAUGUCUACCGUAAAGGUGCAUGAGUGGUGUUUGGUUUGUUACGGGUGGUUGGCUGUUUGCUUGCGCACCAACUUCCACCUGGCAUACCUCUUCAGUUUUGUGUCAAUGCUUGUAUCGUAUUGAAUGCAAUGUGGGUUUCCUGUACUGCAUGCCUAGUUGAUGGUAUCGUUUGAUGAAUCGGUGACUUUUUCGUCUAGUGUCGCACUUGCGAUGCAGGAUGAUCCUUGAAGCAGCCUUUGUGAUCCACUCUUUUGAUGCUCAAGCAUUGAUGUUGUGGCUCAUUGAGUUUUUGCUUGUUAUCAUGGAUAUGGAACAUUGUGUGGGCAUGUGAACUUUUAUUAGUUCCUUGUUUGCCCUUUGUUAAGCUUUUCAAAUACGAUUUCCUAUCAUGUGAUAACUUGAUAGGCUAUAUCGAAUAUGAAUGCUACCUGGUUGAUCCUGCCAGUAGUCAUAUGCUUGUCUCAAAGAUUAAGCCAU